AACGUAGGGGACAAGCGUUAUCCGGAUUUACUGGGCGUAAAGCGCCCGUAGGCAGCUUGGCAAGUUGGACGUGAAAGCUCCCGGCUUAACUGGGAGAGGCCGUACAAAACUGCGAAGCUAGAGGUUGGAAGAGGAGAGCAGAAUUCCCGGUGUAGUGGUGGAAUGCGUAGAUAUCGGGAGGAAUACCAGUGGCGAAAGCGGCUCUCUGGUCCAGACCUGACGCUGAGGGGCGAAAGCGUGGGGAGCGAACGGG
rnacentral:rRNA from 1 species